AUUAGCAAACCAGCAGACUUAUCUCCUAUUGUUCACAUUCUUUUCUUUUGUAGUUCAUAGUGCUUUGCAAAACACUGGCAAUUCUCAGAUACAAACAAGAUGGUAACAGCAGUCCUCUGAAUACUUGGAGCCAUAGAAGUUGAGGGAAGGGGUGACAGACUGGCAGAAGAUGAAAGUGAUGGUCAGAGCUGUUCAGUCAAUUCAUAACAGAAAACCAAAAGGAGGAUGUUGCCACUUCACUGGUGUCUAGAGCAUUUCAUGUCCCCUGACAUGGGCUCAAAGGGAAUCUGGCAGCAGCUGCAUUCAAAAGCCCAAGUGGGAAACAUUUAAUUUCCCAAGAUGUUACUCCCGUGGUAUUAAUGAAGAGGAAUUGCUUCAGAUAUCGCAAGCUGAUGUUUUUGAAUUGUGAAGCUUUGCCUAAGUUGGGGUGAAAUCAAACAAAGAAGGCUGCACAAGUCCUUGAGGAGACCACACACUGACAGUGCUGCCCUGUAACAAGGUGAAAAAAGCAGAGUGGUUCCAGGUCAUGUGAAACAAAGCAAGCAGCAGCCUCUAUUGAUCCCUGGGCCGACCACAUUUCUUUUUGCAGGCUGGAAAAGCCCCAGGUCCCCUUCUUCUGCAUCACUGGCAUUUCCAGUGUUUCUGCUGGUGCUACCAGCAAGGCCACUGGAUAGCAAGGUCUGCAACCCUCUGAUACAGAAACAAACCCUAAUGCUUUCUACAAAGCCACAGAGCAUGAAAUAAAAUAUUUG